CUGUCAUUUAAAAUGAUCUUACUGUCAUGUUCCGGGGUCUUUUAGCUCCUUUGUGGAGUUUUGUGCCUGCACUCGUUUUUCUCCACCACUAGAUGGCGCCUUUACCAUCCGUCGGAGGGCGUGGAUGACGUCAUCCCACACCUGAUGCGGGUUUGGCUCAUCAGUGUGAAGUUCAAGAGGAGCUGACUGCCAGUCCUUCGGCGCCUGAGUGUUAGCCAGUCACGGUACCUCUGAGCCCCUAGAAGCUUGCUUCUGUUUUGCCUUGUUGACCCACUCCUAGUGAAAGUUUUUCUUCGUUGCUUCUCCUGCCUCCAGGUGUUUUUCCUCCUGGCUCCUCUUCAUCCGCUGAUCCUGAGCCUAACUGUCCGCCCUCCGACGUACUCCCGUUGCCUCCUGGACCCCCGCUGUCAGACAAGACUACCACCUGGAACCUCUGAGAACAAACCCCGGACGCUGCAGUUACCCUCCCACUUCUCUAACCUGCCGAUCACAAUGAACUGUUUGAUUCCCUGAACCAGCCUCUCUCCCUGGACCCGACCCGAGCCAACUAUUCCUGCCAGCAGUGUUUUUUCAAUAAAUUUAUCUUUUAUUUCA